UUAAGUUAUUAAGGGCGCACGGUGGAUGCCUUGGCACUAGAAGCCGAUGAAGGACGUUACUAACGACGAUAUGCUUUGGGGAGCUGUAAGUAAGCUUUGAUCCAGAGAUUUCCGAAUGGGGAAACCCAGCAUGAGUUAUGUCAUGUUAUCGAUAUGUGAAUACAUAGCAUAUCAGAAGGCACACCCGGAGAACUGAAACAUCUUAGUACCCGGAGGAAGAGAAAGAAAAUUCGAUUCCCUUAGUAGCGGCGAGCGAAACGGGAAGAGCCCAAACCAACAAGCGUGCUUGUUGGGGUUGUAGGACACUCUGUACGGAGUUACAAAGGACGACAUUAGACGAAUCAUCUGGAAAGAUGAAUCAAAGAAGGUAAUAAUCCUGUAGUCGAAAAUGUUGUCUCUCUUGAGUGGAUCCUGAGUACGACGGAGCACGUGAAAUUCCGUCGGAAUCUGGGAGGACCAUCUCCUAAGGCUAAAUACUCUCUAGUGACCGAUAGUGAACCAGUACCGUGAGGGAAAGGUGAAAAGCACCCCGGAAGGGGAGUGAAAUAGAACCUGAAACCGUGUGCUUACAAGUAGUCAGAGCCCGUUAAUGGGUGAUGGCGUGCCUUUUGUAGAAUGAACCGGCGAGUUACGAUUUGAUGCAAGGUUAAGCAGUAAAUGUGGAGCCGUAGCGAAAGCGAGUCUGAAUAGGGCGUUUAGUAUUUGGUCGUAGACCCGAAACCAGGUGAUCUACCCUUGGUCAGGUUGAAGUUCAGGUAACACUGAAUGGAGGACCGAACCGACUUACGUUGAAAAGUGAGCGGAUGAACUGAGGGUAGCGGAGAAAUUCCAAUCGAACCUGGAGAUAGCUGGUUCUCUCCGAAAUAGCUUUAGGGCUAGCCUCAAGUGAUGAUUAUUGGAGGUAGAGCACUGUUUGGACGAGGGGCCCCUCUCGGGUUACCGAAUUCAGACAAACUCCGAAUGCCAAUUAAUUUAACUUGGGAGUCAGAACAUGGGUGAUAAGGUCCGUGUUCGAAAGGGAAACAGCCCAGACCACCAGCUAAGGUCCCAAAAUAUAUGUUAAGUGGAAAAGGAUGUGGCGUUGCCCAGACAACUAGGAUGUUGGCUUAGAAGCAGCCAUCAUUUAAAGAGUGCGUAAUAGCUCACUAGUCGAGUGACACUGCGCCGAAAAUGUACCGGGGCUAAACAUAUUACCGAAGCUGUGGAUUGUCCUUUGGACAAUGGUAGGAGAGCGUUCUAAGGGCGUUGAAGCAUGAUCGUAAGGACAUGUGGAGCGCUUAGAAGUGAGAAUGCCGGUGUGAGUAGCGAAAGACGGGUGAGAAUCCCGUCCACCGAUUGACUAAGGUUUCCAGAGGAAGGCUCGUCCGCUCUGGGUUAGUCGGGUCCUAAGCUGAGGCCGACAGGCGUAGGCGAUGGAUAACAGGUUGAUAUUCCUGUACCACCUAUAAUCGUUUUAAUCGAUGGGGGGACGCAGUAGGAUAGGCGAAGCGUGCGAUUGGAUUGCACGUCUAAGCAGUAAGGCUGAGUAUUAGGCAAAUCCGGUACUCGUUAAGGCUGAGCUGUGAUGGGGAGAAGACAUUGUGUCUUCGAGUCGUUGAUUUCACACUGCCGAGAAAAGCCUCUAGAUAGAAAAUAGGUGCCCGUACCGCAAACCGACACAGGUAGUCAAGAUGAGAAUUCUAAGGUGAGCGAGCGAACUCUCGUUAAGGAACUCGGCAAAAUGACCCCGUAACUUCGGGAGAAGGGGUGCUCUUUAGGGUUAACGCCCAGAAGAGCCGCAGUGAAUAGGCCCAAGCGACUGUUUAUCAAAAACACAGGUCUCUGCUAAACCGUAAGGUGAUGUAUAGGGGCUGACGCCUGCCCGGUGCUGGAAGGUUAAGAGGAGUGGUUAGCUUCUGCGAAGCUACGAAUCGAAGCCCCAGUAAACGGCGGCCGUAACUAUAACGGUCCUAAGGUAGCGAAAUUCCUUGUCGGGUAAGUUCCGACCCGCACGAAAGGCGUAACGAUUUGGGCACUGUCUCAACGAGAGACUCGGUGAAAUCAUAGUACCUGUGAAGAUGCAGGUUACCCGCGACAGGACGGAAAGACCCCGUGGAGCUUUACUGUAGCCUGAUAUUGAAAUUCGGCACAGCUUGUACAGGAUAGGUAGGAGCCUUUGAAACGUGAGCGCUAGCUUACGUGGAGGCGCUGGUGGGAUACUACCCUAGCUGUGUUGGCUUUCUAACCCGCACCACUUAUCGUGGUGGGAGACAGUGUCAGGCGGGCAGUUUGACUGGGGCGGUCGCCUCCUAAAAGGUAACGGAGGCGCUCAAAGGUUCCCUCAGAAUGGUUGGAAAUCAUUCAUAGAGUGUAAAGGCAUAAGGGAGCUUGACUGCGAGACCUACAAGUCGAGCAGGGUCGAAAGACGGACUUAGUGAUCCGGUGGUUCCGCAUGGAAGGGCCAUCGCUCAACGGAUAAAAGCUACCCCGGGGAUAACAGGCUUAUCUCCCCCAAGAGUUCACAUCGACGGGGAGGUUUGGCACCUCGAUGUCGGCUCAUCGCAUCCUGGGGCUGUAGUCGGUCCCAAGGGUUGGGCUGUUCGCCCAUUAAAGCGGUACGCGAGCUGGGUUCAGAACGUCGUGAGACAGUUCGGUCCCUAUCCGUCGUGGGCGUAGGAAAUUUGAGAGGAGCUGUCCUUAGUACGAGAGGACCGGGAUGGACAUACCUCUGGUGUACCAGUUGUCGUGCCAACGGCAUAGCUGGGUAGCUAUGUGUGGACGGGAUAAGUGCUGAAAGCAUCUAAGCAUGAAGCCCCCCUCAAGAUGAGAUUUCCCAACUUCGGUUAUAAGAUCCCUCAAAGAUGAUGAGGUUAAUAGGUUCGAGGUGGAAGCAUGGUGACAUGUGGAGCUGACGAAUACUAAUCGAUCGAAGACUUAAUCAA
rnacentral:rRNA from 1 species